GGGUCGAUGGCGUAGUUGGUUAUCGCAUCUGUCUCACAUUGAUUCGAAGUGGUGUGUGCACAGGAGGUCCUCAGUUCGAACCUGGGUCGACUCA